rnacentral:lncRNA from 1 species
ACUGCAGAGCGUAUUUAAAGAGACACCUCGCUCCGCGCUCGCUCCCCAGCACCAGACCCUCGCCCGAAAACGCCGCCGGGCGGACUGCACGACCCUGUGUUAUUCCCAAAGACAAUCUCCAUCCGUGGAGAAGCUGCAGGAACAGAAAUAUACACAAGAAAAUGGAUUUGGAAGGAAUUUUCCAUCCUUUAUUUAACAUUCUCAAGUCCAGAUAUGCCAGAACCGAGGUGCACCUGUCGUGAACCCGUCUGAGUUUGCAGGUUAGACCCCACUUGCGGUUGUGUGUUCCAGAAGUCUCCGGGCGCUGUGUGGCAGGAUGAGGAGCUGCCCCCCUGGAGGAUCACGCAGGCCUCUGGGUGGCAUUCAGCAGGGUUGGCUGCGGCACCGGCUGACCACAGGGCCCACCUUUCCAGUCCCGGCAGGAGAGAAGCGUCUCAACCAUGUUGCAGGCACACGGGUGAGGGUGCUGCCUGCCUCCCUGACUCUUACCUCCCCAAGAGAGGAAAACAAAAGAAAAAAAGAUAAGACCAGGAAAUGGAAAUAAGACAAAGAAGAAUGAAAUUUUAAAAUCCGAACAAACCCAAACAUGCUGUUUCAAAACGUAAGUCCAUGAAGAGUCUCGUGGUGAGAAAGACAGAAUUCCUAGCCAGGAAAAUGCCCCGUGCUUGCCCCUUGGAGGCAGGUGCUCACCACGGCAGGGUCUAUCUAGGUGUUUAUUAAGGUGUCUCACCACGUAUCGCCCGGAUUCACCAGAGAUGCAGAGGCGGAGGAUACGUUCCUGUUUACAUUGAUACAUAGUUACAUAGGUGAAGAGCUUUACAGUGAGGAAGCGGCUCACGCGGCCAUGAGGGACCCAGGCAGGAGCUGCUGUUGCUGCCCCAGGUGCGAUUCCUUCCUCCUCAGGGAGGCUCAGCUCCCCGCUGCAGCCAGGUGGGCCCAGGCAGGCCUCCUUGGCCUACAGCGCAGACGGCCAAGUGCUGGUCACGGCCAUUGCAUCUACACCACCCCUUUCUCAGCAGCAACUCCACGAGUGCUCGAUGGGAAACUGCAGACAGCAGCCUUGCCAAGCGGAUGCCCAGGGCCGACCACCGCAGCCCCUCCAGCCACGUUCUCCAUCAGGGCAGCCUCCUGCUGGCUUCGGCACUGCAGGUAGCACACCAGCGAGGGGUGGGCCUGUGUGCCACGAAGCGUCAUCCAUGGACGUGCCACGAAGGGUUAUUCUUCUUUUGACUUUUUCUGAUGGUUUAAAACUGUAAGAACACACAGCUCACAGUCCACACGGAAGCAGGCAUGUGGCUCCUGCCUCACUGUGGGAGGAAAGAUGUUCUCAAAAGAAAUGGCUGGGUUUGCGGAGGGGUUUGUGGAGGGCCGGGCAGUCUGAACACAGCCCAGCUGGCCUUGGUGGAGGUGGGCCUGGCACAGGGGGGUGGGAGCAGUUCUUCCUGACGCAAAUCCUAACGCCUUCAACACUGACCUUCCAAAGAAACAGCUGCUGGACGCCGCCCGACAGCAACGAGAGCCCC